ACGUAGGGUGCAAGCGUUACUCGGAAUCACUGGGCGUAAAGGGUGCGUAGGCUGCCCAUUAAGUUGGAUGUGAAAGCCCUCGGCUUAACCGGGGAACUGCGUCUGAUACUGGAUGGCUUGAGUUCGGGAGAGGGAUGCGGAAUUCCAGGUGUAGCGGUGAAAUGCGUAGAUAUCUGGAGGAACACCGGUGGCGAAGGCGGCAUCCUGGACCGACACUGACACUGAGGAGCGAAAGCCAGGGGAGCAAACGGGA
rnacentral:rRNA from 1 species